CAUAUCAAGGUUUUCGUACAUAAAAAGAACGUCCAAAUCUAACUUCAGAUGAGGAAGUUAUGAGUUUUUGAAUUUUAUUUAAAAUAAAUAUAAAUUUAAUUAUAAACUCCCGGUAUUAUCCGAAGGGGAGUCAUCGGAUAGGACCGAAGUACGCCCUGCGUACCUUCAUACGCCCCGCGUACUCAGAUCAAGGGCCUCGGAUCGUCCACGUCGCCUAUGCAAAGCUUCCAACCCCCCCGUCCGACACGCCGCCCGUCCGACCCGCCGUCCCAUCCGAAGCGCGUAAGCGAUGACGUCUCGUACGCGCUGCGUACCCUCGUACGCCNNNNNNNNNNNNNNNNNNNNNNNNNNNNNNNNNNNNNNNNNNNNNNNNNNNNNNNNNNNNNNNNNNNNNNNNNNNNNNNNNNNNNNNNNNNNNNNNNNNNCUUUCCAAAUGAAGGCAAUGUCGGGAGGAUCGAUGAAGAGCCCGAGGUUGAGCACCAAAUCCCUUUGGAUGAUCACCUCGUAGAAGACUUUUCCGAUGGAUCCGACUCCGAGCCGGAAGUCAACAACCUACCGCUCAUAGGUCAAGCCCCGAUCAACAACCCUCGACCAGCUUUUCCAGGUCCUACUCCCUUGUGGGCAAACAACUUGAAUCACUGGAGUAAUGGACAGGGUCAACCCUUACCAUACUCUGGGGACCGAAGCUUUUGCAACGUCAGCGAUGGGGGCUCUGCUGACCGAGCUCUGCCUGUCAUUAUCCACAGAAUAGCUCGUAAAGUCGAGCAAGGUCGAGCAGNCCGGGUCAUAGAGUUUCAAUGCCAACUCAGGUGUCAACACAGUCCGCAUCCGCCGUCUUGAAGAAGACAUGGAAUGGACCCGGAGAACAAAUAAACCCCUGCAGUAGCAGUUGGCUGCCUCACGAGCUAAAAUCUUGGAACUUCGAGCUCGUCAGAGGACUCAGGAUCGACACCUUCAUGAGGUGUUUCGUCAAGUGUCCGACCGCAGUACUCAACGGGAUUUUCCCAUCGCCGUUGGUUGAUGUCUAGUACAUCUCUGUCUUUUGAUUAAAGAAUAGCCUUUAACAUCUGUGCUCUAAGUAGCACUUGUCUGUAAAAUAUUUUUAACUUUCCGUACUCAAAUUUGAAAUCUAAGAACUGUCAAACUUUUCUAUAUGGUAUGAUGUAAGACCUACUGUUAGGUCGAUUUUCCCUGAACUUAUUACAUCAGUAAUACCAGUAUUUUUGAGAUCUAUCUAUCUGUGGGAAAAAUCUAUACACUUGUGCUUUCCUACUAAUAUUUCUUAUUGUGGUUUCAAACACUCUUUCAACUGUUGGACUAUGGGUAGUUAGUCCAUGUGUCACUCUCUUGUUGUUUACAAAUUGAUUCUUACCAUUUUCUUAUCUUUAUAAACUUAUAGCUGAAAGAUGCCUCCUCGCAAAUCUCCUAGGAAUAAUCCUGCACCACCGCCUCCUUCGCCACCGGUCAUCGAUACUGUAGCCCUGAAUGUUGCUGUAGCUGCAGCAGUGGCAACUGCCAUGGCUCAGUAUCACUCUUCUGAUGCCAGCAGAGGUGGAACCUUUGUGGAAUCAACCCCGGUUGAAACCCCUGUGCGUUUGAGAGAGUGCUCAUACAAGGAUUUCACAAAUUGCAAACCGAAGCCUUUUUACGGCACCGGUGGAGUCAUUGCCCUCUCGCAAUGGCUUGAGAAGACUGAAUCAGUCUUCGAAAUCUGUUCAUGCCCUGCGGCGAGUAAAGUCAAGUACGCCGCAUGCACCUUUGAAGGAAAGGCCCUGACAUGGUGGAACGGCCAUGUUAAGGCACUAACUCUCGUCGUAGCCAACGACAUAGGCUGGGAAACAAUGAAAGACCUCAUGACNCUAACUCUCGUCGUAGCCAACGACAUGGGCUGGGAAACAAUGAAAGACCUCAUGACUGAGGAAUACUGCCCGAGGGGCGAGAUCCAGAAACUGGAGCAGGAACUCUGGAACCUGUCGAUGAAGGGCACCAAUGUGGUCGCUUAUACUGCCCGAUUCAGCGAGCUGGUGGCCCUCUGCCCCAAUAUGGUUCCCACCGAGGGGAAGAAGAUCGAGAGGUACAUAUGGGGACUAGUGCCUCCGUAUCAGGGGAAUGUGCUAGCGUCAAACCCCGCUACCUUCGACAGUGCCAAACGAUUGGCACAACGACUCAUUGACCAUGGAGUCAAAACCCCUGCAACCACAACCACCCUAGCCAUCCCGGAACCCUCCAAACCCGCUGAUACUAAGCAGAAAUUCUGGGAUGAAAAGAAGAAGCAACAGGCUGCCAAAAUGCAGCAAAUUGUGGCAAUACAUGCCGCAAUAACCCCUGCUGUUGCUACUAACGCUCCGGUGAGUCAGUAUGCAAGAAGUUCGCCCAAGUGCAACAAAUGAUACUACCACCACAACGGCCCCUGCCGAGAAAUGUAGUGCUCUAACUGCAACAGGAAAGGACACACCGUCCGUUUCUGUAAGUUCCCGGCACAACCUAUCAACCAAGUCCCUGGCUCUGGCGCGAGCCCAACCUGCUAUGGAUGUGGCGAAGCAGGCCACUUUAAGAGGGACUGCCCCAAAGCGAGGAAUGCUGGAGGAGCAGGGAGGGUACUAGCUAUAGGCCACGGGGAAGCAGUUGCUGACCCGACAGUGGUGACUGGUACGUUCCUCCUCGAUAACUCCUAUGCAUGCAUUCUGUUCGAUAGUGGAGCGGAGCGAAGCUUCGUAAACCAUAAAUUUGCUCGCAUGCUUAAUCAACCACCGCACGCACUCAAAGAACUAUUCACAGUAGAAAUGGCUAAUGGAAAAACUGAAAAUACGAGUAGCAUAUACUUAGGUUGUACCCUAACUCUAGAUAACCAUUCAUUUCCAAUCGACCUCAUGCCAGUCUCAAUAAAAAGUUUCGACGUUAUCAUUGGCAUGGACUGGUUAAGCCUUCAUCGUGCCGACAUCAUGUGCUUCGAGAAAGCAGUCCGUCUAAACCUUCCGUCUAACGAAACUCUUAUAGUCUACGGCGACAAACCCGGUGCAAGUCUUCGCAUCAUAUCAAGUAUUCAAGCACAGAAAUAUCUGCGUAAGGAAUACCAUGCAUUCCUUGCUCACGUCGUCGACACGAGCCUCGAAACGAAAGAACUAAAGAACAUCCCUGUAGUGAGCGACCUCCCCGACAUUUUCCCAAAAGAACUACCCGGGUUACCUCCGCAUCGACAGGUCGAGUUCAGAAUCGUCUUAGUCCCGGGAGCUACCCCAGUAGCCAAGUCGCCCUACCGCUUAGCACCAGCUGAGAUGCAGGAACUCUCUGGUCAACUUAACGAACUGCUCAGCAAGGGCUUUAUAAGACCGAGUUUCUCACCUUGGGGAGCACCGGUCUUGUUCGUUAAGAAGAAAGACGGAUCAUUCCGUAUGUGUAUUGACUACAGAGAACUCAACAAACUGACGGUCAAGAAUCGUUACCCUCUGCCUCGCAUAGAUGAUCUAUUCGACCAACUGCAAGGGGAAAACUAUUUUUCUAAGAUUGAUCUGUCUCUGCCUCGCAUAGAUGAUCUAUUCGACCAGCUGCAAGGGGAAAACUAUUUUUCUAAGAUUGAUCUGAGAUCCAGAUAUCACCAGUUGCGAGUGCUAGAGGAGGAUGUGCCGAACAUAGCCUUCCGAACUCGUUACGGACAUUACGAGUUCGUGGUGAUGCCAUUCGGAUUGACCAAUGCGCCCGUAGUCUUCAUGGAUCUGAUUAAUAGAGUAUGCCGACCUUACUUGGAUCAGUUCGUCAUCGUUUUCAUUGACGACAUCCUGAUCUACUCCUGAAGUAAGAAAGAGCAUGGCGAUCANAUGGCGAUCAUCUGCGACAAGUUCUAGGGACAUUACGAAAAGAGAAACUUUAUGCGAAGUUCUCGAAAUGUGAAUUUUGGAUCCGAAGAGUCGAAUUCUUAGGACACGUGGUAAGCGAAGAGGGAAUCCACGUGGACCCAUCCAAAAUUAAGGCCAUUGAGAACUGGUCAGCACCGAAGACUCCUACAGAAAUUCGUCAAUUUCUAGGUCUCGCUGGCUACUACCGCAGGUUCAUUCAGAACUUCUCACGAAUAGCGAAGCCUCUUACAACCCUAACCCAGAAAGGUGUGGCCUUUGACUGGGAAGAGAAACAAGAAAGAGCGUUCCAAACGCUCAAACGAGCCUUGUGCACCGCACCAAUACUAUCCCUUCCCGAAGGAAUAGAAGACUUCGUAGUCUAUUGCGAUGCAUCGAAUCAAGGGCUUGGAUGUGUCCUGAUGCAGCGAGGUAGGGUCAUCGCCUAUGCCUCGAGACAGUUGAAGACACAUGAGGUUAACUACACGACCCACGAUCUUGAACUAGGAGCAGUAGUGUUUGCUCUAAAGAUCUGGAGACACUACUUGUAUGGAACGAAGAGCACUAUCUUUACCGACCACAAGAGUUUACAACACAUUUUCGAUCAGAAGGAGCUCAACAUGAGACAACGACGAUGGGUCGAGCUACUCAGUGAUUACGAAUGCGAUAUUCGUUAUCAUCCGGGUAAAGCCAACGUAGUAGCAGACGCCCUAAGUCGGAAGGAAUAUUCUGGUCGCAAAGUCAAGUCAUUAUCGAUAACCAUCCAUUCACACCUGACUAAGCAAAUUCAGGCGGCUCAACUUGAGGCCAUGAAAUCUGAAAAUGUGUCAAGUGAAUCCCUUAGAGGAAUGGACAAGAAUUUAGAAGCCAAGGGUGACGGAGCUUUAUAUUUCAUGAACCGGAUCUGGACACCGAAACAUGGUGGCUUCCGAGACUUGGUCAUGACCGAGGCGCACAACACUCGGUAUUCCGUCCACCCAGGUUCAGAUAAGAUGUAUCUGGAUCUUAAGAAGCUAUACUGGUGGCCUAAUAUGAAAGCAGAGAUUGCUACCUUCGUAAGUAAAUGCCUUACUUGCGCAAAGGUUAAGGUCGAGUACCAGAAGCCCUCUGGUUUAUUGCAGCAACCAGAGAUCCCGGAAUGGAAGUGGGAGCGGAUCACUAUGGAUUUCAUAACCAAGUUGCCCAAGACAACGGGUGGACUUGACACCAUAUGGGUCAUCGUUGAUAGAUUGACCAAGUCUGCACACUUCCUGCCUAUCAAAGAAACCGACAAGAUGGAGAAGCUUACGAGAACAUACAUUAGGGAAAUCGUACGGCUACAUGGUGUACCUAUGUCCAUUAUCUCCGAUAGAGAUAGUAGGUUCACCUCAAGAUUUUGGCAAUCACUACAACAUUCCCUAGGAACGAGGCUGGACAUGAGCACAGCCUACCAUCCUCAGACCGACGGACAGAGUGAGAGGACCAUCCAAACUCUAGAAGAUAUGUUGCGAGCCUGCGUGAUUGACUUUGGGAAGGCAUGGGAUACUCAUUUACCCCUUGUCGAGUUUUCCUAUAAUAACAGUUAUCACACGAGCAUCAAGGCUGCUCCAUUUGAAGCUCUCUACGGCCGAAAGUGCAGAUCCCCUCUGUGCUGGGCUGAGGUGGGUGAUACCCAAUUAGCCAGGGGGCAAACUUCCGACAGUACUCUCACCGGUCCGGAGAUCAUUCGGGAAACAACAGAGAAAAUCGUUCAGAUCCGUGAACGAUUGAAAGCCUCUAGAGACCGACAGAAGAGCUACGCUGAUAAACGAAGGAAACCUUUGGAAUUUCAGGUGGGAGACCGAGUCCUCCUCAAAGUCUCACCCUGGAAGGGCUUGAUACGCUUCGGCAAGCGUGGGAAGCUUAAUCCGAGGUACAUAGGGCCUUUCGAGAUUCUUGCAAGAGUCGGCCCCGUAGCUUACAAACUCGAACUACCAGACGCACUUCGUAACGUACAUUCUACAUUCCACGUAUCUAACUUGAAAAAGUGUCUAUCCGACGAGACUCUUGUAAUCCCACUCGACGAGAUCGAAAUCAACGAGAGCCUCAACUUCGUGGAAGAACCUAUAGAGAUCAUGGACCGUGAGGUCAAGCAGACAAAGCAAAGCCGUAUCCCUAUCGUGAAGGUUCGCUGGAAUGCCAAGCGAGGACCGGAAUUCACUUGGGAACGUGAGGAUCAGAUGAAACUGAAAUACCCUCACCUUUUUGCUUAGUUAUUUGUAAUUUCUUACUUGCUUAAAUUCUAAUUUCGGGACGAAAUUCCUUCUAACGGGGGGAUGAUGUGACAACCCGAUAUUUCGAGACAAUGUAAUGUAAAACCAAUCAAAUCUAGGUCAAAAUAUAACCUUCCUAAAAUCUUAUUUGGGUUAAAUAAAGUAGUAGGAAUCGUAUCAAGGUUUUCGUACAUAAAAAGAACGUCCAAAUCUGACUUCGGAUGAGGAAGUUAUGAAUUUUUGAAGAAAUUCCUUAAUCACGUCAUUUUAAUAAAUAAAUAAUAAAAAUAAUUUCGGAAUUUGCCAACGGAGUCUAAACGAAAGUUGUAGAUCUUGGUCUCACCUUCGCGUGGAUAUAAAGAACGUCAAAAACGGAGUUCGUAUGAAGGAGAUAUGAAUUUUAGAAGUUUAUUUAAAAUAAAUAUAAAUUUAAUUAUAAACUCCCGGUAUUAUCCGAAGGGGAGUCAUCGGAUAGGACCGGAGUACGCCCUGCGUACCUUCGUACGCCCCGCGUACUCAGAUCAAGGGCCUCGGAUCGUCCACGUCGCCCUAUGCGAAGCUUCCGACCCGCCCGUCCGACCCGCCGUCCCAUCCGAAGUGCGUAAGCGAUGACGUCUCGUACGCGCUGCGUACCCUCGUACGCCCAGCGUACCGAGGUGGUUCAGCACCCCUAUAAAAGGGAUGCGAGGCUUUCCGGAAAUUUUGCUCAUUUCUCUCCUUUCUCUCACGAUCUUGCCUCGAUUUCCGUGCCCGUUCAAACCCGAAGCUCUGGUCUUUUUGCUCAAGUCCCGAGGGUCGAUUUUACUCCCGAGAUUCCCGAGAAUCCCGAGAAAAAUCCGUUUCCCGAGACGAAACUCUGCCCGGUUUUCCAUCUCGCUUUCUUCAAUCAAUCAAGUGAGUUCAUACCCCUUAAUUUACCUUUUAAAUGUUCUAUAAAUUCUUUUAUAUGCUUUUAAGGGGGGGAUACAAGUUAAAUACUUAUAGUUAUU
rnacentral:lncRNA from 1 species